rnacentral:rRNA from 1 species
UACAGAGGGUGCGAGCGUUGUCCGGAAUCACUGGGCGUAAAUGGCGCGUAGGUGGCGCUGCAAGUCGGUGGUGAAAGCUCGUCGCUUAACGACGAGUCGGCCAUCGAAACUGCAGGGCUCGAGCACUGUAGGGGCUAAUGGAAUUCCGGGUGUAGCGGUGGAAUGCGUAGAGAUCCGGAAGAACACCAGUGGCGAAGGCGGUUAGCUGGGCAGUUGCUGACACUGAUGCGCGACAGCGUGGGGAGCAAACAGG